GAUGAACGCUAGCUACAGGCUUAACACAUGCAAGUCGAGGGGAAACGACAUCGAAAGCUUGCUUUUGAUGGGCGUCGACCGGCGCACGGGUGAGUAACGCGUAUCCAACCUGCCCAUCACUUGGGAAUAACCUUGCGAAAGUAAGACUAAUACCCAAUGACAUCCCACGAAGACAUCUGAAUGGGAUUAAAGAUUUAUCGGUGAUGGAUGGGGAUGCGUCUGAUUAGCUUGUUGGCGGGGUAACGGCCCACCAAGGCAACGAUCAGUAGGGGCUCUGAGAGGAAGGUCCCCAACAGUGGAAGUGAGAUACGGUCAAAGCAAGUACGGGAGGCAGCGGUAAGGAAGAGUGGUCAAUGGGCGAGAGCAUGAACCAGCCAGGUAGCGUGCAGGAUGACAGCCCUAUGGGUUGUAAACUGCUUUUAUAAGAGAAUAAAGUGGGUCUCGUGAGACUUUUUGGAUGUACCUUAUGAAUAAGGACCGGCUAAUUCCGUG
rnacentral:rRNA from 1 species